rnacentral:rRNA from 1 species
AGAGUUUGAUCCUGGCUCAGGAUGAACGCUGGCGGUAUGCUUAACACAUGCAAGUCGAACGGACUCUUCGGAGUUAGUGGCGGACGGGUGAGUAACGCGUGAGAAUCUGCCUACAGAUUGGGGACAACGUCGGGAAACUGACGCUAAUACCGAAUGUGCCGAGAGGUGAAAGAUUUAUUGUCUGUAGAUGAGCUCGCGUCUGAUUAGCUAGUUGGGGCGGUAACGGCGCACCAAGGCGACGAUCAGUAACUGGUCUGAGAGGAUGACCAGUCACACUGGGACUGAGACACGGCCCAGACUCCUACGGGAGGCAGCAGUGGGGAAUUUUCCGCAAUGGGCGAAAGCCUGAUGGAGCAAUACCGCGUGCGGGAGGACGCUUUUUGGAGUGUAAACCGCUUUUCUCAAGGAAGAUGAUGACGGUACUUGAGGAAUCAGCAUCGGCUAACUUCGUGCCAGCAGCCGCGGUAAUACGAGGGGUGCAAGCGUUAUCCGGAAUUAUUGGGCGUAAAGCGUCCGCAGGUGGUUUUUCAAGUCUGCUGUUAAAGACUGGAGCUCAACUCCGGAAAGGCAGUGGAAACUGAGAAACUAGAGUUCGGUAGGGGUAGCGGGAAUUCCCAGUGUAGCGGUGAAAUGCGUAGAUAUUGGGAAGAACAUCGGUGGCGAAGGCGCGCUACUGGACCGAAACUGACACUCAGGGACGAAAGCUAGGGGAGCGAAAGGGAUUAGAUACCCCUGUAGUCCUAGCUGUAAACGAUGGAAACUAGGUGUGGCUUGUAUCGACCCGAGCCGUGCCGUAGCUAACGCGUUAAGUUUCCCGCCUGGGGAGUACGCACGCAAGUGUGAAACUCAAAGGAAUUGACGGGGGCCCGCACAAGCGGUGGAGUAUGUGGUUUAAUUCGAUGCAACGCGAAGAACCUUACCAGGGCUUGACAUAUCGCGAAUCUCCUUGAAGGGGGAGAGUGCCUUCGGGAGCGCGAACACAGGUGGUGCAUGGCUGUCGUCAGCUCGUGUCGUGAGAUGUUGGGUUAAGUCCCGCAACGAGCGCAACCCUCGUCUUUAGUUGCCAGCAUUAAGGUGGGCACUUUAGAGAGACUGCCGGUGACAAACCGGAGGAAGGUGGGGAUGACGUCAAGUCAGCAUGCCCCUUACGCCCUGGGCUACACACGUACUACAAUGGUUGGGACAAAGGGCAGCGACCCCGCGAGGGAAAGCGAAUCUCAUCAAACCCAGCCUCAGUUCAGAUUGCAGGCUGCAACUCGCCUGCAUGAAGGAGGAAUCGCUAGUAAUCGCAGGUCAGCAUACUGCGGUGAAUUCGUUCCCGGGCCUUGUACACACCGCCCGUCACACCAUGGAAGCUGGUCACGCCCGAAGUAGUUACCCUAACCUUUCGGGGGGGGGGACUCCUAAGGCAGGGCUAGUGACUGGGGUGAAGUCAACAAGGUA